ensembl:lncRNA
AUAUUAUUCACAAAAACUACCAUUUUUACUGUUUUUUGAUCAAAUAAAUGCAGGCUCUGUGAGCGGAAGAGACUUCUUUCAAACAAAUUAUUACACCAUUACAGUUUUUCUCAACUGCUAAAACACUAAACCCUAUUGUCUGAACCAAAUGCUCAGUUGCCUGAACCCACUGAUUGAAUCAAUCACUCUUUUGGCACUGUACCAAUAUACUGUAGUAUUGUAAUGGAGGGUUGGUCUAACUGUUUGUAGGCCUAGUAUUCCAUGUAUAUUUUUUGUAACUCCAUGUUCUCUUUUUGUAGAAUUGAAAGACUGCCACAUGGAGGUGGGAGGACAGGUAUGUUCUCCCCACACCAAGAGACCCUAAUUGCUGAUAUGGUCCGUGAGAACAAUGCCAUUAAACUGAAAGAAAUUCAGCAGAAGAUCAUUGAGGACCAUGUCAAUUUUGAGGGUAUCAACAGUGUCAGCCUCUCUACUGUUGAUCGUGUCCUCAAGCGCAACAGACUGUGCAUGAAACAGCUAUACAGAGUGCCCUUUGAUCGCAACUCAGACAGAGUCAAAGAGCAAAGAUUCCAGUAUGUACAGAGGGUUUUUCAACUGGAUGCAAUGGAAAGACCCCAUGAAUACAUCUACAUGGAUGAAGCUGGGUUUAAUCUCACCAAAAGGAGAAGGAGAGGCCGUAAUGUGAUUGGCCAUCGGGCCAUUGUUGGUGUUCCUGGGCAGCGUGGUGGCAAUGUCACAUUAUGUGCUGCCAUCAGCAAUCAUGGGGUUGUCCACCAUCAUGCCAACCUGGGACCCUACAACACUCACCAGCUCCUCAUUUUCCUCAAUCACAUACGAGAUGCUCUGUAAUGGCAGCAAGAUGAGCAUCCCAUCUAUGUUGUUGUUUGGGACAAUGUGAGUUUUCACAGAGCCCUCCAGGUUAGAGAGUGGUUCAAUAUGAACCAAGGUUUUAUCAAUCUUUGCCUUCCACCCUACUCCCCUUUCCUAAACCCCAUUGAGGAAUUCUUCUCCUCAUGGCGGUGGAAGGUAUAUGGACACCAACCUUACACCAGGGUAAAUCUCCUGCAAGCCAUGGGACUUGCCUGUGGUGACAUAGGUGUGGAGGCAUGCCAAGCCUGGAUACGGCAUACCAGGGGUUUUUUCCCCCGUUGCCUGGCCAGACAAAAUGUGGCCUGUGAUGUGGAUGAAGUCCUGUGGCCUGACCCAGUGCGGAGACAUGAUGCUGUGGCUGGGUAAUGAGGAGAAAGACAGAGGAGAGGAGAGAGAUGAGAGGAGAGGAGACGAGAAGAAAGGAGAGGAGACGAGAGGAGACGAGACAAGACGGGAGGAAAGGAGAGAAGAUGAGACAAGAGGAAAGGAGACAGAGGAGAGGAGAUGAGACGAGAGGAGACGAGAGGAGACGAGAGGAGUGGAGACAGAGAAGAGAAGAUGAGAUGAGAGGAAAGGAGACAGAGGAGAUGAGAUGAGACGAGAGGAGAGGAGAGGAGGCCUCUGAAAUGCAGAGAGUGUACAUUAUUCAUAGGGAUCCGAACGAUAGCAGAUAGCGGCAGUGAUUUAGUGGCUUUGAUUUCUGUCACUGCAGGCUGUAAAGCACAGCAGACACACACAGAGGUGAUGACCCAC